CGUCUGACGACCAUAGCGUCCUGGAACCACCCCUUCCCAUCCCGAACAGGGCCGUGAAACGGGACAGCGCCGAUGAUAGUGUGGAUUACCCAUGUGAAAGUAGGUCAUCGUCAGACUU
rnacentral:rRNA from 1 species